GUGGUUGUGGCUCAGAGGUAGAGCACUCGCCUAGCAUGCUCGUCUAGCAUGCGUGAGGCACUGGGUUCAAACCUCAGCACCACA
rnacentral:tRNA from 1 species